rnacentral:lncRNA from 1 species
GCAAAGUGAAAGAACGAAGGAACCCUCGUCAAUCAGAGUUUUUGGUGACAACCACUUUGAUUUGGGUUUAAUCUUUCUUUUCUUUAACUUAAUUCAAGAAUGUUUGCUAUGUGUUUACUAUUCUUGUUUACAACAAUGAUGGCUUAAUUUUAUUUAAGCUAGGAUGAUUAUUUUGGUUGAAUAAUAUUUAUUUGAUUCAUGCUUAUAAUAUUUGUGCCUC